rnacentral:rRNA from 1 species
AACGAACGCUGGCGGCAGGCCUAACACAUGCAAGUCGAACGGCAGCUCAGUAAGUGCUUGCUGUUACGGGUGGCGAGUGGCGGACGGGUCAGGUAUAUAUCGGAAUCUACUUUUUCGUGGGGGAUAACGUAGGGUAAGUUACUCUGGUACCGGAUAUGCCCUCCGGGGGAAAGCAGGGGAUCUUUUCAGCUUUUGCGAGUGAAUUAGCCGAUGUCGGAUUGGCUAGUUGGCGGGGUAAAGGCCUAACAAGGCGACGAUCCGUAGCUGGUCUGAGAGGAUGGUCACCGAGCUGGGAAGUGAGACACGGCACAGACUCCUGCGGGAGGCAGCAGCCGGGAAUAUUAGGCAAUGGGGGCGAGCCUGAUCCAACCAUACGGCGUGGGUGAAGAAGGCGUUAGGCUUGGAAAGCCCUUUUGUUGGGAGAGAAAAGCAGCAGGUUAAGACGCCGCGGUACUGACGGUACCAAAAGAAGAAGCACCGGCUAACUUCGUG